AAAUAACUAGCAAAUUCAUAAACGAUUGUUUUCAACAGCAGACAAACUGAAGUAAACAGACGCCAACGUCAGACUGAACUCAUGUCAACAGGAGACGUCAACUGAAACAAUAAUAAAAAAAAUGUAACAGGUGGCACCAGUAGGUGUCACUCUCCAUAGGCUGAGCCUCUAUAAAAGGGGAAGCUAGUAGGGUGGUAGCCAAGAGUUCACUUCCUGUGUCUGGGACCAGGGGUGUGGUCGAUCCAUACUGUUGGCUGGCUGGGGUAGGUUGGGAGGAAAAUGGUUUUUAAGUUUAUCUUUCUCAAUAUGUUUUUUGCUGAUUUGGUGUUUUUAUACAGGGCCGCAUUAACAGUAUUCCAGUGGUAGCGUUACCUGGGCGUGUGGUUGUUCGACGCCGCAGGGUUGUCACUGCUUCCUGCUGUCCUUUAGAGUUUGAUUUUCUUUUCUGUUAGUCUGCCUGGUUUGGAUUGUUUUUCUUUUUGAGUACUUGUGAGGGUGGACUAACAACUUUGCAUUUAUUUUGUUUUCUUUUCACUUCCUGUAUGCUUAUAUUCCUGCUACAUUUUAUAUAUUGGCACCUGUAUUUUAUUUAUAUACAAUAAAGCUUGGUAAAAUUAA